rnacentral:rRNA from 1 species
UACGGAGGGUGCAAGCGUUAUCCGGAUUCACUGGGUUUAAAGGGUGCGUAGGUGGGCAGGUAAGUCAGUGGUGAAAUCUCCGGGCUUAACCCGGAAACUGCCAUUGAUACUAUCUGUCUUGAAUACCGUGGAGGUGAGCGGAAUAUGUCAUGUAGCGGUGAAAUGCUUAGAUAUGACAUAGAACACCAAUUGCGAAGGCAGCUCACUACGCGACUAUUGACACUGAGGCACGAAAGCGUGGGGAGCAAACAGG